rnacentral:lncRNA from 13 species
AUGAAUAAAACCCCAAGUGAUAUAGAUCCACCAUGGCACCCGGGGGGAUACGAGGUGAUACAGUUUCGCUGUGACGCAGGUCAAACCUUGCCACUGGGACCGUAUGGGUGCCACGCAGGCGCACUUGGGCAGACAGCAGAGCUGGUCGACAGGUAUCUGAGUGGACCGACUGUAGCAACGCAACUAGCACAGACCGGACAGGCUCGGAACACCGCAUCAAAUAGAGGCUCUUCACACGAGACAUGGUGGGGAGUCGACUCCAAAAAAAUAGAUUCCCGUCGACUCCCAUUUCUGGAUGUCAAGCUUCAUUUCCGCUAUGAAUCAACUCCUAAGAUUCAGUAUUUUUGCAACGGAGGAACUAUUUGCCUUAGGGUGGGUUGCACCAACAUGGAUGAACUCUUAAACCUUGAUUCAACCCAGUUUAUCUAUUAAUCUUGUUGCACCAAAUUGUAAAUUUAGUUUUAAAUUAAUCCUAGUUAAAUUAAAUCCAUUCUAAGUUUAGUUUUCCCUUUUAAACCUAGAUUAAUUUUAAGUCUGUUGCUCAAUGAAUAAAAAAUACAUUUAGAUUGGAGAUUAAUUCUAAACUGCCACUUGAGGUGGUUUAACUGAUCAAAUGGCAGCAUAUCUACUGUGGAGAAACCAAAACGACAGAGUUCGUCAGAGAACAAUUAGAGACAGGUUGAACCCCGUUGAGUUUUAUGAUAAUGAUGAGUUUUCAAGGAGAUACUGCUUUUCCAAGGACUCUGUAAUGCAACUGGACCAACCAUGAAGUUUGGGAGGGAUAAGAUCGCAGCUGUACCCCCACUACGUCAGCUCCUGGAGGCCCUACAGUUCUAUGUAACUGGAUGGACCCAGAUGGUGGAUGGGGACCUUUCUGGACUCCACAAGUCAACUGUCUACAGGAUUGUAGUCAGUGUCCAGUGCGCUUUCCGAUCUGAAGAAUCAGUACAUCAAGUUCAGUCCUGCAGAGGAAACAACAGCUGGAUUUUACAGGAGAGCUAGAUUCCCAGGUGUACUAGGGGAAAUAGACUGUUCACAC